AGGGCACUGCCUUCCCUCUUCUUGCUUGCCUUCCUUCCUUCCGGUCCCGGCCUGGCUUCCUUGGGAGCGGGAACCAAGGGCGCGGGAUGCCACAGGGGCUUAGCCGGCUUUAGGGGAGAAGUUCAAGGAGCAGCUGGAGAGGCCCGGCCCCCUUCUCUCACCCUAAAAAUACCAGGCAGGAGAACAAGAGAAGAGGGCACAGGAGGCAGGCCAAGGCAAGCCAGGCCAAGGCAGAGAAGCCAUUGAAAUCCACAAGCAUAUGGACAAAUUCAACAGAAAAGAGGAAACCCAUGAAUAAAACACUGCUUAGCAGUAUUAGAAAAUGCCAGAAUCAAAACAAUAAAUAAAGAACACCACUCAGAAACAAGGGGAACUCCGGGCAGCAAAUAAUCCAGUGUCAGUUAAACAAAGGAUGCCUCCAGGCAACAACAGCCAGGCUACCUCUAUGCAAGCUCCCUCACUGAUUGACCUUGCAGCUGCAAGGCUACUCAACUAUUCAAGAUUGCUACUUGCAGCAUUCACACUUGCUUCCAACAGACAAGAGUUCUUUCUCCCACCCUGGACAUUCCACAGAGAUAUGUACAGUCCACUUGCCUUGCUAGCAAGAGAAUCUCUGAAGAUCCCAGUAACCACAGAUGCAGGCCAAAUGUCAGGAGAAAAUGCUGCUGGAACCCACCCACCUACGAUGGCACUUUUGAACGCUGCCGGGCUGCCCACCUUGCGAUUCCACGCUGCCCACAUCCUUCAUCACUUCGGCAUCCGAGAGGGCGGCAGGAAGCUCCGCAUUCCCACAGCAGAUGGGGAAACCCUGAAGGCCAGCCAUGCAUGAGGAAGAUGCGCACGCUCGGUUCAGUCAUUAGAACCACCCCACAGCCGGCUAUUUAUAGUCGGUGCAGAAAGGCCGGUCAAGUUCACUCUAGGACUCGACGGGCAACCAAGCGCAUUAAGACGCAAAACGGCUGGGGAAGUGCAGUGAAUUCACCCGUCACUGCAAGGAACAUGAAAAGUAAAGGCACCUCCCGUCGCCCUAGGCCUACAGGACAUGCUCUCCUGAAGGUUGGCAAGUGGAGAGAGCUGGGUUGAUGCCAAACGCAGUCAUCACACUCCCCUAAGUGUCACUUCACUUAGUCACUUAGACCAUCCGUUCCUCAGAUUUCGCACAGAUCACAACAUCUUCUCUAAUCGCCUCCAUUCGUAUCUAUUUCGAGCACGAGUUGGCCAGUGUACCAUUGUACAACCAUGCUCAUCUCUUACAUUAUACACCAAACUGAAUGAAUACGACCAUCAGGUGGGAGGUCUCGUCCAUCCCUGCAAAUACCAUGUUAACAUGACAUUGCUCCAGCGCACAUCUGUUCUGCGCAUCACGUGGCUCACAAAGCGUUGUUUGAGUUGGGCAAUGUGGCACAGAGGAUCUCUCACUUUGGAUAUUUUUUGAACAUCCUCUUUCAAUCAUCAUCCAGAGAAGGAGAUUCCACCUGAACAUUAGGAAGAACUUCCUGACUGUAAGAAAGGCUGUUCAGCAGUGGAACUCCCUGCAUCAGAGUCUUUAUCCCACCAUGGUCCUAUUAUCCACGGUUGCACAGCCUGCCCUUCCAUGCAACUUGGAUAAUUCAACUCUGCUCUGUAAUUGAUAUGGUUGUGUUUCAUUUUGGGAUGUUUCAAAUACAGUAGAGUCUCACUUAUCCAACAUAAAUGGGCCGGCAGAACAUUGGAUAAGCAAAUAUGUUGGAUAAUAAGGAGAGAUUACGAAAAAGCCUAUUAAACAUCAAAAUAGGUUAUGAUUUUACAAAUUAAGCACCAAAACAUCAUGUUAUACAACAAAUUUGACAGAAAAAGUAGUUCAUUACACAUUAAUGCAAAGUAGUAAUUACUGUAUUUAUAAAUUUAGCACCAAAAUAUCACGAUGUUUUGAAAACAUUGACUACAAAAAUGCGUUGGAUAAUCCACAACGUUGGAUAAGUGUGUGUUGGAUAAGUGAGACUCUACUGUAUUUCAUUUUAGGAUGUUUCAAAUAACUGUUUUACUAUGUUUAAUUCUGUAAUUUGUAUUAUGUUUUAAUUGUACAUCAAACUGAUGUUUUUUAGGGCUUGUCCCCAUGUGAACCACUCCGAGUCCCUUCGGGGAGAUGGAGGCGGGUUAUAAGAAAUAAUUUACUAUUAUUAUUAAUUAUUAUUAAUUAUUAUUAUUAUGGUGGAAACUCCUUCCUUGGAAGCGUUUAUACAGAGGCUAGUUGGCCAUCUGUCAAGGGUUUGAUUGCACUUUUCCUGCCUGGCAGAAUGGGGUUGGCCUAGAUGGCCCACGUGGUCUCUUCCAACUUUAUUAUUCUAUGAGUUUAUAAUUCUAAGUCUCUUUUCACCCUCUCUUUUGGAGGCUAAACAGACCCAGUUCUUUAAGACACAACUCAGAGGGAUUCAUGGUCUUCAGACAUUUGAUCCUUUUGGUCGCCCUCUUCUUCUGGACACCUUCCAACUUGGAGACAAUAUCUCUCUUAAACUGUGGAGCCCAGAAUUGGACACAGGGUUAUCCCAGGCCAAAGCAGAAUAGACAGGCACCAGGACUUCCCUUGAUCUGAACAGCAGAUUUAUUUUGAUGUAACCCAAAAUCUCAUUGGCCUUUUUAGCUGCUGCAUCACACUGUUGGUUCAGACUACAGACCUUCCAUGGCCAGACAGCCAGGGCAGUGUAACCCAAUCCUGUACAAUGCCCAGACUCAAGAACCACCAAUCCACAAAGCUACCAUCUCAUUGGGAUCCGGCUUCAAUUUACUGGCCCUCAUCCAGCCCACUAUGGCAUCCUGCAGCACUUUCCCAACUGCCUUGGAUGACAACGAAAUACACAUCUGAGUGUCAUACUGAAAGCUCCCCACCCACCCAAGCAGCUUCACAGAAGUAUUAGACAUCAUGCAGAAUGAUAGCACCCUUAUGACACCCCACAGCUCCAAUGCCAUGGAGCUGAAUAGUGCUGGCAUCCAAUCCACCAUGUCUCAAUAUAAUAAUAUAUACAGUAGAGUCUCACUAAUCCAAGCCUCGCUUAUCCAAGCCUCUGGAUAAUCCAAGCCAUUUUUGUAGUCAAUGUUUUCAAUAUAUCGUGAUAUUUUGGUGCUGAAUUCGUAAAUACAGUAAUUACUACAUAGCAUUACUGCGUAUUGAACUACUUUUUCUGUCAAAUUUGUUGUAUAACAUGAAGUUUUGGUGCUUAAUUUGUAAAAUUAUAACCUAAUUUGAUGUUUAAUAGGCUUUUCCUUAAUCUCUCCUUAUUAUCCAAGUUAUUCGCUUAUCCAAGCUUCUGCCGGCCCGUUUAGCUUGGAUAAGUGAGACUCUACUGUAAUACUAAUAUUAUGCUAUACUAAUUAUUAUUAAUAUAUUGUAUAUACAUAUAAUAUUGUUAAUUGUAUUGUAUUGUUGUGUACUGGCAUCGAAUUCAGCCAGUUUUGUAAGCCACCCUGGGUCCCUUCGGGUGAGAAGGACAGGAUAGAAAUGAUGAAAAUAAUAAAUAAAUAAAUAAAUAUAGUAAUGGUAA